UGGGAUGUAGCCAAGCUGGUAAGGCACAGGACUUUGACUCCUGCAUUCCGUUGGUUCGAGUCCAACCAUCCCAGCCA
rnacentral:tRNA from 1 species